rnacentral:rRNA from 1 species
AACGCGAAGAACCUUACCUAGACUUGACAUCUCCUGCAUUACCCUUAAUCGGGGAAGUUCCUUCGGGGACAGGAAGACAGGUGGUGCAUGGUUGUCGUCAGCUCGUGUCGUGAGAUGUUGGGUUAAGUCCCGCAACGAGCGCAACCCUUAUUGUUAGUUGCUACCAUUUAGUUGAGCACUCUAGCGAGACUGCCCGGGUUAACCGGGAGGAAGGUGGGGAUGACGUCAAAUCAUCAUGCCCCUUAUGUCUAGGGCUACACACGUGCUACAAUGGCAAGUACAAAGAGACGCAAGACCGCGAGGUGGAGCAAAACUCAAAAACUUGUCUCAGUUCGGAUUGUAGGCUGAAACUCGCCUACAUGAAGCUGGAGUUGCUAGUAAUCGCGAAUCAGCAUGUCGCGGUGAAUACGUUCCCGGGCCUUGUACACACCG